AUUGAACGCUGGCGGCAGGCCUAACACAUGCAAGUCGAGCGAGCGGCGGACGGGUGUGUAAUGUCUGGGAGACUGCCUGUGGGAGGGGGAGAACUACUGGGAACGGUAGCUCAUACCGCAUACCAUCAGAUGUGCCCCGAUGGGAUUAGCUAGUAGGUGGGGUAACGGCUCACCUGGGCGACGAUCCCUAGCUGGUCUGAGAGGAUGACCAGCCACACUGGAACUGAGACACGGUCCAGACUCCUACGGGAGGCAGCAGUGGGGAAUAUUGCACAAUGGGCGCAAGCCUGAUGCAGCCAUGCCGCGUGUGUGAAGAAGGCCUUCGGGUUGUAAAGCACUUUCAGCGGGGAGGCGUUACCCGCAGAAGAAGCACCGGCUAACUCCGUGCCAGCAGCCGCGGUAAUAC
rnacentral:rRNA from 1 species